rnacentral:siRNA from 1 species
AUAGAAUUACAGAAACAUUUUCUG